ACACGACUACAUUAGAUACCCCCUGUAGUCCUGGCCGUAAACGAUGUGGACUUGGUGUUGGAAUGGCUCCGAGCUGCUCCAGUGCCGAAGGGAAGCUGUUAAGUCCACCGCCUGGGAAGUACGGUCGCGAGACUGAAACUUAAAGGAAUUGGCGGGGGAGCACCACAACGCGUGGAGCCUGCGGUUUAAUUGGAUUCAACGCCGGAAAUCUUACCGGGACCGACAGCAACAUGAAGGCCAAGCUGAAGACUUUGCCGGAUUAGCUG
rnacentral:rRNA from 1 species